rnacentral:rRNA from 1 species
GACGAACGCUGGCGGCGUGCCUAACACAUGCAAGUCGAACGGAAAGGCCCUGCUUUUGUGGGGUGCUCGAGUGGCGAACGGGUGAGUAACACGUGAGUAACCUGCCCUUGACUUUGGGAUAACUUCAGGAAACUGGGGCUACUACCGGAUAGGAGCUCCUGCUGCAUGGUGGGGGUUGGAAAUUUUCGGCGGUUGGGGAUGGACUCGCGGCUUAUCAGCUUGUUGGUGGGGUAGUGGCUUACCCAGGCUUUGACGGGUAGCCGGCCUGAGAGGGUGACCGGCCACAUUGGGACUGAGAUACGGCCCAGACUCCUACGGGAGGCAGCAGUGGGGAAUAUUGCACAAUGGGCGGAAGCCUGAUGCAGCAACGCCGCGUGCGGGAUGACGGCCUUCGGGUUGUAAACCGCUUUCGCCUGUGACGAAGCGUGAGUGACGGUAAUGGGUAAAGAAGCACCGGCUAACUACGUG